rnacentral:rRNA from 1 species
AUUGAACGCUGGCGGCAUGCCUUACACAUGCAAGUCGAACGGCAGCACGGGAGCAAUCCUGGUGGCGAGUGGCGAACGGGUGAGUAAAGUAUCGGAACGUGCCCAGUCGUGGGGGAUAACGUAGCGAAAGUUACGCUAAUACCGCAUACGAUCUAUGGAUGAAAGCGGGGGAUCGCAAGACCUCGCGCGAUUGGAGCGGCCGAUAUCAGAUGAGGUAGUUGGUGGGGUGAAGGCUCACCAAGCCGACGAUCUGUAGCUGGUAUGAGAGGACGACCAGGCACACUGGGACUGAGAUAGGGCCCAGACUCCUACGGGAGGCAGCAGUGGGGAAUUUUGGACAAUGGGCGAAAGCCUGAUCCAGCCAUGCCGCGUGCAGGAUGAAGGCCUUCGGGUUGUAAACUGCUUUUGUACGGAACGAAAAGGUUUGGGCUAAUAAGCUGAGCUCAUGACGGUACCGUAAGAAUAAGCACCGGCUAACUACGUGCCAGCCGCCGCGGUAA